rnacentral:rRNA from 1 species
UACGUAGGGUCCGAGCGUUGUCCGGAAUUACUGGGCGUAAAGAGCUCGUAGGUGGUUUGUCGCGUUGUUCGUGAAAACUCACAGCUUAACUGUGGGCGUGCGGGCGAUACGGGCAGACUCGAGUACUGCAGGGGAGACUGGAAUUCCUGGUGUAGCGGUGGAAUGCGCAGAUAUCAGGAGGAACACCGGUGGCGAAGGCGGAUCUCUGGGCCGAUACUGACGCUGAGGAGCGAAAGCGUGGGGAGCGAACAGG